UAAAAGGCUUUUAUAAAAGCCAUGCUUAAAUAUUUUGAAUUAUUAU
rfam:Physcomitrella patens subsp. patens PHYPAscaffold_65 genomic scaffold, whole genome shotgun sequence.